AGGACGAACGCUGGCGGUGUGCUUCACACAUGCAAGUCGAACGAGGUAGCAAUACCUAGUGGCGGACGGGUGAGUAACGCGUGGGAAUCUGCCUUUAGAUGGGGGAUAACGGGCCGAAAGGUCCGCUAAUACCGCAUAGGCCGCAAGGUUAAAGGAGUAAUCCGUCUAAAGAUGAGCCCGCGUCCGAUUAGCUAGUUGGUAGGGUAAAAGCCUACCAAGGCGACGAUCGGUAGCUGGUCUGAGAGGAUGAUCAGCCACAAUGGGACUGAGACACGGCCCAUACUCCUACGGGAGGCAGCAGUGGGGAAUUUGUGCAAUGGGCGAAAGCCUGACACAGCGACACCGCGUGAGCGAAGAAGCCCUUUGGGGUGUAAAGCUCUGUCAGCUAGGAACGAAAAAAUGACGGUACCAGCAGAGGAAGCAUCGGCUAACUACGUGCCAGCAGCCGC
rnacentral:rRNA from 1 species